CUCUCUCUCCCUCUGUAGGCUCCAGCGGGGGGGCUUCAGGCUAGCCCUCCCAUCCCCUCAUCAAGAGCUUAUUCAGCCCUGCCAAGCCUGGGAACAAAUUAAGUCUGUUGUGAACAGUGAUAUUUGUAUGUGAAUAUCACUUUUCACAACACUUACUAGCUAGCAAUAAAUAAAUUACAAUGAUUUGGAUGUGUAUAUGUGCAUAUUUAUUUGUUUUUCUUAAAGCUAAUUAAGUAUUUUAGGGGAAAGUGUGAAAGCAGCUGCACUCUGAGGCCACCAAAAAGUUUGUCAUGAGAACCCCUUCUCUGGGGUCCCAGUGCCACUCAGGUUUGGCCCAGCCAUCAUAAUCAUGGAAGUCCGGGUAGGCCAAAUUUGAGAAAGUGGCACUGCAACCCUAUGAGCCAGGUCACAACUCCACUCACACAAAUUUGGGCCAGUCCAAGGACAGGGACAAACCUGAGCAGCACUGCAACAUUAGAAGUUGCAACGCCUGGACCAGAGAUCCAAGCCCAGCUAGCCCCACAGCACAGGAGCUGCCGGAGCUGCCACUGUGAGGUAAGUGCCAGGCAGGACCCAACCCUCCCCCUGGUGGGGGGUGGGGUGAGGCAGGACCCGACUAAAACCACCCAAGGGCCUCCAUCCUCAGACUAUUUUCUGGGUUGCAAUGGGCCAUUAUCGUUUACAAAUGGGUCCUGAGCCCAAAAAGGUUGAGAACCACUGGCCUAGAUGACCUUUCAAGGACUCUGCCAGCCCUACAGUUCUAUGAUUUAUAUUUCACCUCCCAUAUAUGCACACAGAAAACCCCCCAGUAACAAAUUGAAUUAAACCUUAAUUCUGACCUUUUCACAACUUAUUUACAACAAACUCUAUGUAAAGAGUGUAACGUUAUACUAAAAUUAUUUUCUAUGCGUUCUUUUAAAUGGUUAUGUAUGUAUCGAAUAAGGUCAAUUAUUGCAACAGGCAAAACAGUCAAAUAUUUUACGUAAAGACUGUGUAUGUGCACUUUGUUUCAGCAGUUAGUUAUCUAGAAGGCUUGAAAGGAGUAAACUGAUCCACUCUCCUAUCAUACCGAUGGUCAGAAUUUUGAUUAGUAGAUAUGUAUACAUUAAGCAUAAUGUAAGUGUUUAACUACACGGAUUUUAUUUGUAAUUUACACUUAAUAGGUUGCAUAGUGUUUUUUAAAAAUAUUUUAGAAAAUUAAUUCUGUAUUAAAUUAACUGAGUGACAAAAUAGUUAUGAAUAGUCUAGGAAGUGAUUUGUUCUUGCUCAUUGUUUUCUUAUGUAAAGUUUGCUUUUUUAAAAAGCACAUCACAACGUUUUAAUCAUUUUCAGAUUACAGGUUACAAAAACAACUAAAGACUAACAAAUAAUAUUGCCUCUGAAACCUGUGUCUUAAAUGACUACCAUCAUCUAAGAUGUCUGUGGCAGAGCUGGGGGAAAGGAAAACAAAAAACUUAAAAACAAACCACACAAUUAUCCUGGAUCCCACUCUGGUGCCUUAACCGCAAGACCAUCCUGCGGAAUAGCAUAUAAUCAUACUUUUACAGACUCUAUGAGUCAUCUGCAUGUCUUUGUUGCUUUACAGAGUUAGGUAUAUUGGAGAAACCCCAUUUUACAGACAGAAUAGACAAGCACAUAUGUUUAGCCUAAUGUUUCUGAGCGGCAAUAUGACUUAAGUGGAUGAGACUUGGUUCUGCUAGAAUAGAGACCUGUGUUCUAUUCCCAGCUCUGCCAGAGGUGAUCUUUUUAAGCAACUUCUCAGAUACUCAGUCAUCUCAUCUGUAAAAUGAGGAGCAGGGAAAUGAUACUUCAGAUCUUACUCAUAAAAAGGGCUGUGAAACCCAUAGAAUUAUGACACGUAGGAGAGAAGUCAGACUUGAACUCUUCAUCUCCGGAGCUCUUAGUCCAAUGCACCUUUCCCAAACCCAAGUGGUAUU